AAAAUGUUCAUACCAAUUUUUAACUCCAUAAAAGCCGAUAUUCCUUACAGAAGAUUAACCCGAUAAACCCUCGCAGUGAUUGAAUGAAUUGAACGGAAUGCUCGACGAUUAUUCGCAAAAAUCUAUUUUUAUAAAAUAAAACUACAUAACUACAUUAUCAAGUCGACUUACUACUACAUGAAUUUUAACGCAAGUUGCUAAUUACGAGCAAGCGCCCAAGAAAAAAGGUACAAAAAAGGAAGAAUGAAUUCAGAUUAACUCUGUAACAUUCAAAGUUAUGUCGAUAAAUUUUACAACACGAACGAAUCCGUUUCAUUUGUAAACAUGGGUAGGUUAGUAAGCGGUUUCCGCUAAAUCAGCGAUAAAGUGAAUAGUUGCUAGAAAGAAAGCAAGAAAGUAAAAGAGAUUUUCAAGAGACUGCUAAAUGAGAAGGGAGAUAGAAAAAUAAGAUGACAAGGAAUAUCACGGGAGGAUAAAUUGCAAGCAAAAAUGAAUGCAAAGGCAGUAUAAGAAGUGUCCGAGCAAUACACCUUGACAGAUAAUAAAUGAGAGAAAAGUUUAACUCUGAAGAAAGGGGGUUUUCAAAGGUGAUGCAGUAAGCAACCGACUUUGCACUAUAAACAACUCUGGUAUGCUCUCAUCUACUGAAAUGAUAUUACUUGUGUGCAAACAGCUUCAUAUCCAACCGGUGAUAGUACUGAUCAACACGUAAACAACGUAUAUUGGUGAAUUCAGCUCAUAUAUCUGAAGAGAGCGAAGAGGCAGACGAAAUCAUAAAGGCGUUAACAAACAAUAGCAAAGGAUGAGCCUUAAGAUUAAAUAAUAGACAAUAGUCAAAAGUCCCAAGAAAAUGCGUUUACCAACGGUUCAUAGAAAUACUGCUACGAAUACGGUUGUAGUCCAACAAACCCUCAAUGGAACCAACAGCAGAAACAGCAAUGUCCUUGUCCCAAAUCAUCUCGGAAGCAACGCGGGCUACAUCUUUUUCAGUGAUUUGACCGAUACGGAGAUCAACCUCUUGAGGGCUCAUACGACGACCAGUUGUAAGCAAUUGGCGACCAAUGUCCUCUGCAAUGGCGGUCGUUGAAUCCAAAGAAAGUAAAAGCGAAGCACGGAGUUGUGCCUUGGCACGUUCAACCUCAGCACGAGUUGCAACGGUUAAACGAGCCCAGUUUUGGAGGGUAAAGUGGACGAGAUCAUCAAUACGGCCAAGGUUCUCAGUGACAAGAUAAAUACCCCAAAGUCCAGUAUCACUAUAACUAGUACUGAAACUCAUGAAGCUAUUGGCAAGUUGAUGUUGUUGAACAAUAGUACUAAGACGAGAAGACAAAUGGGGAGAUGCUCCCAUAGCACGGUCCCAGUUACCAAUGAUGGCUUGCAUGACUAAUGCAGUAAAGUAAUCUGGGUGUUUCCAACUCAUACCUUCAACAGCAAUGGCAAUGUUGGCAGUUGGUGAAUCAUCGUCACGAG